CGCGAAGUUAGCGCGAGUCAAACGAAGGCGCCAAUCGUCUCCGUGAUUAGAGAUGAAUUUUUAUUUGUGCUAAACGAACAUCGUGCGAGAAAGCGGUCAAUGUGAUCGCGCGAUGAACAACGAAAUGUCGCAUUCACGCGCGAACAUUGCUGCCUUCGGGGUGAUGCUUUUGCUGGGACGCGUCAAGACAAAAUCAAGAUCGAGCGCCGGUGUUAGGUUAUCCGCACCGGAGCGCGGCACAGUGAAGCUGUCCGAUUUAUGUCGAUUGCAUCGACUUCGAUAAUCGCAAUCAGUUCGAAAGUCGCGAUCGGCGCCAACGGUCGGUCAGUUUCUCGUCGCCGCCGUCGCCGUUGUCGCCGUCACCGCGUGAGAUCAGAUUCUUUUUUGGGAGUGAAAAGGAAAGUAAAUUUCGGGCUACCCGGCCAUUCGUGCUCGUGACGAUCAUCGUGAAAUUCACGCGCGCGAAAUCUCAAAAUCUGCGAGAUUGUCCCGAUACACGACGUCAUCGUGAUUGGGGACCGGCGUCGUCGAUCGACGUAAACAACGUGUCUCGCAUGACCGUUCUGACCUUACACUGAAAGAGGAAGAGAAAAAGAGAGCGAAAGACAUCGCGCCGAGUCAUGAAAUAGCGGCGUACGCAUUUUCCUGCGGAAACCGCAGGAUGUCACUUGCGAGAUAAUCGAAGUCUCUGACAUUCGUGUUGACACUUCAGGACGCAAGACGCAAGUUUCCAAAUUCUUCGUCACAUCACUGACGAAUCGUUGACUCUCGACGUUCCAAGCAUACGGAAUCGUUAAAACUGACAUGAAUGAGAGAUUGCAUCUAACAGAGAGGUUUGUGUGAUUGCGUCAACUGUGUUAUAUCGAGUCUCUUAGGUGUGUCCUUCGUGUGCGGUAUUCUUGAGUGAUAUCGCCAAGGAGAAACGAACUAUGCUGACAAAGGGGCGAGGCGGAGCGGAGGAAGGCGCUACGAGGCUACGAGGAGGUUAAUAAAUUCCGUUUUAAUCUCGUUGCGCGCGCUGUUGUGUCGGAGUAACAAUCGACUUCCGUCAUUUGCGGUGAAUUUACGAGGGUUCGUUAAAUAUAUAAUUCGCAGAGCGAUGUCCCCUCCCCCUCCUCCGCGCGUUAAUGGCUUUGUUAAGGCCGUCAUCUCCGAAACUUUCACGUAGAAAAGUCCGGACGAGGAAACGCGAGUGCCGACUUCGUUCGAGGUCGAUCGUGCACGAACCGCGUGUCUCGCGGUUAUUUUCCUUAAUAGAAAUCACGUGCACACCCGGGAGAUACGAAUGCCUUCGGGGUGCGCGCGUGUUCGCGAACAAUGAGCGAUGAAAAAAGGAGGAGGAAAAAAAUCUCGCGGCGCCUCGCGGAAAUUAGGCACGGAGCGGCCUAAAUAAUAGUAACUUUGACGUCCGCGACUUUGCCGAUCACGUAGGAGCUCUCUUUUUAGCCGCUUCACUUGGCAUUUAAUCGACGGCCGUGAAGAACACAUGCAUUUACAAACGUCUAUUUACAUAUGCGGUCCGACAGGCCGUACAAAAGCAUUAAUAAUUUAUCUUCUCUGUGAGACCAGUCUAUGAUAAAGUGAUGAAUUUAAAACGCAUGUCGCAUAUAUAUAUAUAUAUAUAUAUAUAUAUAUAUAUGUGUGUGUAAGCGGAAACGUUUUUGACUUUGUUGGAUAAAAUAUCAUUUAUAAUGAAUAACGACAUCGAAUAAACAACACGUGUAUUAACGCGCGAAAAAUAAUCCGCCAAUGUUUUUUUCGGCGAAAGAUGCAAAAUUCCUGGACGCUUCAGAGGAAAAGGAUACCUUGGUGCGAGAUAAGUCGUGCAAGCCGGAAACGUGAAUAC